AUUCCACACCUUCCUCUUCAUUUUUCUUCUAAAGCUUUUUAACUUUGGAUUGGAGACUUGAUAUAGUUGCUUUGGUCUUUUGCUCCUCCAUAUUUUGCUGAAGCAUAAGUGCUUUGCUAAGCAUUAGUCCCUAUGCCAUGUAAAAACAAACAAGUCAACAUGUGGUAAAUCUUUCAAUGAUCUAAGUAAAAAGCAAAGUUUUUUACAUUAAUACUUGAAUAUUGCAGGCAUUUGAUCAUUUUUUGUUUCUUAAGGACCGCACAAUUUGUGUUCCGGGUUUGGAAAUCUGACGCUGUGAAUGAAGUUCCUCACUAUUUUAGUCUCUUCGGAGUUAGGGACAUAGACCAAAAUGUCCCUAUCGCUCCCAUAGAGUAUAGUUGCUCCUGCAUGAUACCCGAGAGCUUUGGCAAUGUCUUCCAGAUCAUCAGAAUCCUCGGCUUCAUGUUCUUUCCCAUUAAUGUGUUUGACAUUAAAAGUUGAAUUGCCCCUAGCCUCUUUUUCUGAUAAGGAUAUUGCUUCUAUUUUCUUUUUGGGCUCGAGGGUCUAUGUUAUUUCCUCUAUGGGGCAACGGUAGAGAUUUCUUCACACUACUUUAGGCUAGGACUUUUGUUGUUUUCCUUGGUAGAAGGAGUCCCAAAGACAAUCCUCAUAAUAAAUUUUAUGUGAGCAACCCUUUUUCGUGUUUUUGGUCCUAUUUUCCGUAGUGUUUUUUCAUGAUGGUUCUUCUUUUGAUAUUGCAGCGGCCGAAGUAGUAACCAUAGUACCUUUGUCAUCAUUCUUACCCUUUGUAGUAAGUAUCAAGCUGGUCAGGUUCGACCCCAGAAGACGUAAAGCGAUAACAGAGAGAGGCUUUGUCAUUACCUCUAGUAUCUAGGUGGCCCAAGUGUUGAAGCUGAAGCACUCCCUAUAUCUUUCAUACUAUGUCCCACUUAUGUCACCUUCGUAGGCCUCUCCUCUACCCUGCUGGUAGUAACUUCAGAUUUCUUCCUUUUUGAGGAAGGUGGGGUCCUUGUGUCUGAUUGAGAAGACCC
rnacentral:lncRNA from 7 species